UCCUACGGGAGGCAGCAGUAAGGAAUAUUGGACAAUGGGGGCAACCCUGAUCCAGCCAUGUCGCGUGUGUGAAGAAGGCCUUUUGGUUGUAAAGCACUUUAAGCAGGGAGGAGAGGCUAAUGGUUAAUACCCAUUAGAUUAGACGUUACCUGCAGAAUAAGCACCGGCUAACUCUGUGCCAGCAGCCGCGGUAAUACAGAGGGUGCGAGCGUUAAUCGGAAUUACUGGGCGUAAAGCGAGUGUAGGUGGCUCAUUAAGUCACAUGUGAAAUCCCCGGGCUUAACCUGGGAACUGCAUGUGGUACUGGUGGUGCUAGAAUAUGUGAGAGGGAAGUAGAAUUCCAGGUGUAGCGGUGAAAUGCGUAGAGAUCUGGAGGAAUACCGAUGGCGAAGGCAGCUUCCUGGCAUAAUAUUGACACUGAGAUUCGAAAGCGUGGGUAGCAAACAGGAUUAGAUACCCUGGUAGUCCACGCCGUAAACGAUGUCUACUAGCCGUUGGGGUCCUUGAGACUUUAGUGGCGAAGUUAACGCGAUAAGUAGACCGCCUGGGGAGUACGGCCGCAAGGUUAAAACUCAAAUGAAUUGACGGGGGCCCGCACAAGCGGUGGAGCAUGUGGUUUAAUUCGAUGCAACGCGAAGAACCUUACCUGGUCUUGACAUAGUGAGAAUCCUGCAGAGAUGCGGGAGUGCCUUCGGGAAUUCACAUACAGGUGCUGCAUGGCUGUCGUCAGCUCGUGUCGUGAGAUGUUGGGUUAAGUCCCGCAACGAGCGCAACCCUUUUCCUUAUUUGCCAGCGGGUUAAGCCGGGAACUUUAAGGAUACUGCCAGUGACAAACUGGAGGAAGG
rnacentral:rRNA from 1 species